AAGCACUUUGUGCCCUGAGGUGUGAUGAGUGUGCUAAUUACUGGGCUCCUGGUUGCUGUAUCCUAGCAGGCUGCUUGUUGUGAAUCAGUUUGGCCCGAGCAGUGGCAAUGCCACUUAUGCAUCUGGAGAAGCUCCCAAAAGCAGGAAUAUGCUGUCUGAACUGGGCAUUGAGACUGUAAAGGGUCUGCUGCUGAACAGGAGCAGGACUUUGCUUUGGGGUGCAACGGAGGUCCUGGGUCCCAGUGUGAGGCAUGAUACAAAGAUGCAAGGCCCAGCAGAAGACAACUCAGGUUUGUUAUGAAUUGAGGAUAAAUAUCACUGAUAAAAUGGAGGUCAACAACUUAGCAGCAUCUUGUGGAAAAGGUUUGGAGGUGAGUGAAAUUAAAUGGUUACCUGAAUCAGGCAUUAUUCCAAUGGGAGACUGGAAGGUGUAGCCAGGAUUUUCUGAAGUGGAAGCAUUCAAAAUAUUGGGAACAAACACAGAAACUGUGGGGUCUGUGACAACUCGUGCGGAAUCUAAACUGAUACUGGGACCACAGUGUGCAAUAUCAUGCUCUGGGCCUGAAAGCUUUUGGCUCUAGUCUCUGAUGUACCAGGGAGAUCAACUGAUUAAAGUGCCAAAGGAUUUUCUUUCUAUUCAGUGGAUUUGAAAUACUUAAAGCUAAGCUGAACUCCAGAUCCUGCUA
rnacentral:lncRNA from 1 species